rnacentral:rRNA from 1 species
UUAUAUUAGAGUGAAGGAUAUAUUUUGUGUUAAUAAAGGGUGAAAUCAAUUUUUUAUUAUAUAAAUAAUUUUAUUUUAGUCUAAUGAAGUUGAAGUCGUUAAAUUUGAGGUAUGAACCAGGAUUAGAGACCCUGUUACACUUUACUAAAAAUUAAUAUACCUGGGUAGUAAACAGUUAUAGUCUUGAAACUUAAAGGAUUUGGCGGUAACCUAGUCUAGUUAGAGGAACCUGUCCUGUAAUCGAUAAACCACGAAGAAUCUUACUCUAUUUUGAAAUUUUCAGUUUAUAUACCGUCAUUAUUAGAUAACUUUAAAAGAAUAUAUAGUUAUUAAAAUAAUUUUUAGUUAAUAUAUUAGAUCAAGGUGUAGCUAAUAAUAGAGUAGAGAUGGGUUACAAUAAUAUUUGUUUAACAAACGGAUUUAAAAAAGAAAUAGUUUUAAUGAAGGUGGAUUUAAAUGUAAAGAGAUUUUAGUAUGAUCUUUUGAUUGUAGCUCUAGGUUAUGUACACAUCGCCCGUCGCUCU